rnacentral:lncRNA from 1 species
CAGCCAUUUUGAAAUUUUCAGGGGUUUAUUUGGUAUAAUCUAGUGUCAAAUGCGUUUUUUAUUGUGCGGAAAUACCCCUACAUACCGAGUUUCAAACUAAUCCAUUGACUUAUAACGUAGGUGCCUAUUUUGGGCCAUUUUGAAUCGGUUUGAGAUGAGAUAUUGGCCCAAUGUAAUAAACAAUAAACAAACAAGAUGGUGGAAAAUUUCUACAAAGUUCUAAACGUGAUUUUGGGUGUGAUAGAAAGUUUUUUAUACCCAACUUCUGCCAAUAAUACGUGCUCCUCUUGGUCGGGUUUGUUUACAUUCCAACUUUGGCGCUCCAUGAUAGCUUAAAACUGAUGAACCAAUCAGAGAGCGGCACAGACAGGCAAUACUCUCCCGUACACAGGUAGAGUAGACCCAAUAACCCAAUGGUUCUAGACGUUAACACUUUAGACGUAAACCUUUUUUAGACCCAAGAGAUUGUAACAUUUUAGACAAUACGUUUUUUCAGGUCGGCCAUUUCCAUUACCGACAUUAUUUAUUAUCAGCUGUAAGUGUAUAACGUAGCACAAUGGUUUGUUUAAUUUAAGAUAGCAAGAAUCUCCAUCUCAUUAUCUCAUUUAAUUCUUUUGUGUUCGAUUGAAAAUUGAAACCCUCAGCGUUUUUCCAGAGUAUGAGUCAUCCGAGCGCGUGACGAUUGCAAGUAACCUUGUGAUAAGUUAUUCUCAAGUGGCAUUUCACCGAUUCUGAUCUUGCUUUCGGUAUUUCUCAGAAGAAAUUUGUGUGGCGUCAUUGAAACGUACGUACAUAUUUUAGCAUCCAAAGAUGAAAGGACAAAGCGAGCCGUCAGACUCAAACACAGGACCAGCGGCAGCUCAUGUAACUGCCAUGCCCUCAGCUCCUCCUCCUUACAGUGAGGUCGUUGGACAUGCAGAAGUGCAAGGAAAUGCUCCUCCUCCUGGUUUUCUGUUAAUCCUCCACCUUACUCUAACCAGCCUCAGGCAGGAUAUCCUGGAUACCCUGCAUACCCACAAUCUGCGCAACCAUUCCCUGGACAACCUGGUUUCGCCAAUCCAAACCCCACUUUUAUAA